CCCUUAGAUGUUCUGGGCUGCACGCGCGCUACACUGAUGCGUUCAACGAGUGUACAUCCUUGCCCGGUAGGGUUGGGUAAUCUUCUGAACACGCAUCGUGAUGGGGAUAGAUUAUUGCAAUUAUUAAUCUUCAACGAGGAAUUCCUAGUAAUGGUGAAUCAUCAGUUCAUCGUGAUUACGUCCCUGCCCUUUGUACACACCGCCCGUCGCUCCUACCGAUUGAGUGCUCAGGUGAAUAAUUCGGACUGCAGCAAUGUUUGGAUCCCGAACGUUGCAGCGGAAAGUUUAGUGAACCUUAUCACUUAGAGGAAGGAGAAGUCGUAACA
rnacentral:rRNA from 1 species